AUGACCGAAGGACUACUGCUUCUGGCUUGUUCCGCCACUGAACAGGACAGUGAUGCGCAGAUUGUGGGAAGCAAUCACUCCUCUUUCAUCUUUGGGUGGAUCUACAAUGGCUUCAGCAGUGUGCUCCAGUCCCUAGAACUCUGCAAGAAAUCUGGAAAACUUGUAUUCUUAGGUUUGGACAAUGCGGGCAAAACCACUCUUCUUUACAUGCUGAAAGAUGGCAGACUAAGCCAGCCCCUAACAAUGCUCCAUCCCACUCCAGAAGAACUGACAAUUGCUGGAAUGACUUUCACCACUUUUGAUCUCGGUGGGCAAGAGCAAGCAUGUCGGAUUUAGAAAUAUUAUCUCCCAGAGGUUAAUGGUAUAGUUUUUCUGGUGGACUGUGCAGAUCAUUCCCGUCUUAUGGAAUCCAAAGUUCAGCUUAAUGCUUUAAUGGCAGAUGAAACAGUAGCCAACGUGCCAAUUCUUAUCUUGGGAAACAAAACUGACAGGACAGAUGCAAUCAGUGAAGAAAAACUCCGUGAAAUAUUUGGGCUCUAUGGGCAGACCACAGGAAAGGGGGGUGUGGCUCUGAAGGAGCUGAACGCCCGCCCCAUGGAAGUAUUCAUGUGCAGUGUGCUCAAGAGGCAAGGCUAAGGCGAGGGUUUCCGCUGGCCUUCCCAGUAUAUUGACUGA